UGGGGAAUAUUGGACAAUGGGCGCAAGCCUGAUCCAGCCAUGCCGCGUGAGUGAUGAAGGCCCUAGGGUUGUAAAGCUCUUUCACCGGUGAAGAUAAUGACGGUAACCGGAGAAGAAGCCCCGGCUAACUUCGUGCCAGCAGCCGCGGUAAUACGAAGGGGGCUAGCGUUGUUCGGAUUUACUGGGCGUAAAGCGCACGUAGGCGGACUUUUAAGUCAGGGGUGAAAUCCCGGGGCUCAACCCCGGAACUGCCUUUGAUACUGGAAGUCUUGAGUAUGGUAGAGGUGAGUGGAAUUCCGAGUGUAGAGGUGAAAUUCGUAGAUAUUCGAGGAACACCAGUGGCGAAGGCGGCUCACUGGACCAUUACUGACGCUGAGGUGCGAAAGCGUGGGGAGCAAACAGG
rnacentral:rRNA from 1 species